UACGUAGGGGGCAAGCGUUGUCCGGAAUUAUUGGGCGUAAAGAGCGUGUAGGCGGUCCGGUAAGUCAGCUGUGAAAGUCAAGGGCUCAACCCUUGAAAGCCGGUUGAUACUGUCGGGCUAGAGUCCGGAAGAGGCGAGUGGAAUUCCCGGUGUAGGCGGUGAAAUGCGCAGAUAUCGGGAGGAACACCAAUGGCGAAGGCAGCUCGCUGGGACGGUACUGGACGCUGAGACGCGAAAGCGUGGGGAGCAAACAGG
rnacentral:rRNA from 1 species